rnacentral:rRNA from 1 species
ACGAACGCUGGCGGCAUGCCUAACACAUGCAAGUCGAACGAGACCUUCGGGUCUAGUGGCGCGCGGGUGCGUAACGCGUGGGAAUCUGCCCCUCGGUUCGGAAUAACAGUUAGAAAUGACUGCUAAUACCGGAUGAUGACGAAAGUCCAAAGAUUUAUCGCCGAGGGAUGAGCCCGCGUAGGAUUAGCUUGUUGGUGAGGUAAAGGCUCACCAAGGCGACGAUCCUUAGCUGGUCUGAGAGGAUGAUCAGCCACACUGGGACUGAGACACGGCCCAGACUCCUACGGGAGGCAGCAGUGGGGAAUAUUGGACAAUGGGCGAAAGCCUGAUCCAGCAAUGCCGCGUGAGUGAUGAAGGCCUUAGGGUUGUAAAGCUCUUUUACCAGGGAUGAUAAUGACAGUACCUGGAGAAUAAGCUCCGGCUAACUCCGU